UACGGAGGGGGGCUAGCGUUUGUUCGGAAUUACUGGGCGUAAAGCGCACGUAGGCGGCUUUGUAAGUUAGAGGUGAAAGCCUGGAGCUCAACUCCAGAAUUGCCUUUAAGACUGCAUCGCUUGAAUCGCGGAGAGGUGAGUGGAAUUCCGAGUGUAGAGGUGAAAUUCGUAGAUAUUCGGAAGAACACCAGUGGCGAAGGCGGCUCACUGGACGCGUAUUGACGCUGAGGUGCGAAAGCGUGGGGGAGCAAACAGGG
rnacentral:rRNA from 1 species